UACUUCAAGAGCUCAGUAUUUUCUCAGGUGGAGCAGAGUUGAUGCAGCUGACGCAGUCUUGACGGGGAGGUGACGGAGGACGUGACGUCGUCCAAACUCCAACACGGAGCCGUGGACAGAUUCAGCUCUGCAGGGAGCCACAGACGACGUGUGAAACUCGUCCUUAUGUCUGACGGCGACUGUUGUUUAUGUUCUGACGCUGCUGCUCUGACUUACUGCAAACCAACAAAUGAGCCAAAACUCUUCUUUCAGUGUGGCCGUACGAGUGAGAGUGGACAUCAGUGUCUCAAAAACCUGGACUCUCCUUUUACUCCACCGGUGUCCCUCACAUGCAGACAGAGACUUCAGCGUCUUUAGACGUCCAGCACACUUUUCUACACCGGCAACAAUGACACUGAAGGUAAUUGGCUAAACACCACGGAUGAUACCUACUUUUCCUCUGAGGCAGAUCGAGGUGACACGCUGAGUCAUGCUUUGGCUCAUUUUCCCCACGCGAGCUGAGCUGUGCGUGAUAGAAGGAAGGAGGACGCAGGUGAAUCAGGAUGAUUCUAUGUUGUUUUGACGGGAGCAGCUGGUGCAUGUGGUUUGUCCUGGCCCUCAUCGCGUUGCCUAAUGUCCCCUGAUUUAAUGUCUUUCACAGACGAUUUGGAUCAUGAGAUCAAAUGAGAGAGAGUCAUAGUAACCUGACUUCAGCAGCAGCAGUGUCAGGUCGAAUGUGACUCAUCGUGGAACAUAUAGACCACGCUCACUCAGGCCUUGUAACCUCAGGUUGGACUGAUUCCAUUCAAUGUGACACAUACAGGAUGGAGCCAUGUGAGAGCGCAGUGACCUCUGACCUCUGCUCUGUGCCGCGUUCACUCACGCAAAACUACCCGUCCACGCG